UACGUAGGGGGCAAGCGUUGUCCGGAAUCAUUGGGCGUAAAGAGCGUGUAGGCGGCCCGAUAAGUCCGCCGUGAAAGUCCAGGGCUCAACCCUGGAAGUGCGCUAGAAACUGCGAGGCUCGAGUGCCGGAGGGGAGAGUGGAAUUCCUGGUGUAGCGGUGAAAUGCGUAGAUAUCAGGAGGAAUACCGGUGGCGAAAGCGACUCUCUGGACGGCAACUGACGCUGAGGCACGAAAGCGUGGGGAGCAAACAGG
rnacentral:rRNA from 1 species